UGAAUAUUGACUGUACAAAGGUAGCAUAAUCAUUAGUCUUUUAAUUGAAGACUUGUAUGAAAGAUUUGAUGAGAUAUAAACUGUCUCUAAUUUAUAUUUAAAAUUUAAUUUUUUAGUUAAAAAGCUAAAAUAAAUUUAAAAGACGAGAAGACCCUAUAGAGUUUUAUAGUUUUAAUUUAAAAUAUUUUUAUAAAAUUUUAAUAUUUUAUAAUAUUAAUAUUUUGUUGGGGUGAUAAAAAAAUUAAAAAAACUUUUUUUAAAAUUUUAAAAUAAAUGAAUAAAUGAUCUUGAUUAGAUUAAAAGAAAAAAUUACCUUAGGGAUAACAGCGUAAUAUAUUUUUUUUUAGUACAAAUAAAAAAAAAAGUUUGCGACCUCGAUGUUGGAUUAAGAUAAAAUUUAAAUGCAAAAGUUUAAAAUUUUGAUCUGUUCGAUCAUUAAAAU
rnacentral:rRNA from 1 species